rnacentral:rRNA from 1 species
UACGGGAGGGGGCUAGCGUUGUUCGGAAUUACUGGGCGUAAAGCGCGCGUAGGCGGACCUGCAAGUCGGGGGUGAAAGCCCGAGGCUCAACCUCGGAACUGCCUUCGAUACUGCGGGUCUCGAGUCCGGGAGAGGUGAGUGGAAUUCCUAGUGUAGAGGUGAAAUUCGUAGAUAUUAGGAAGAACACCAGUGGCGAAGGCGGCUCACUGGCCCGGUACUGACGCUGAGG